rnacentral:rRNA from 1 species
GUGAAAUUGUUGAAAGGGAAGCGCUUGCAGCCAGACUUGCUUACAGUUGCUCAUCCGGGUUUCUACCCGGUGCACUCUUCUGUAGGCAGGCCAGCAUCAGUUUGGGCGGUAGGAUAAAGGUCUCUGUCACGUACCUCCUUUCGGGGAGGCCUUAUAGGGGAGACGACAUACUACCAGCCUGGACUGAGGUCCGCGCAUCUGCUAGGAUGCUGGCGUAAUGGCUGUAAGCGGCCCGUCUUGAAACACGGACCAAGGAGUCA